ensembl:lncRNA
UGCUGUUUGACUGCUUAAAUGGGGCCGUGUGAAACGCCCACGGGAUCCUGGGCGAGGUGGCCCUUCCGGCUGCUGCUGCACCCAAACGCUGCGCUUCACGGGGAGCUUCGGAGCGAGUCCGCUCGGGGGGAACAGCGUUGCCUGCCGCAGCUGUGCCGGCACAGCCAGGCUUUGGCUGUUCUGUAGGCGCCCAGCCCCGCGUUGAAUCCUUUCCAGCCAUUUGCGUGAGUGUGGGGAACUCGGAGAGCUCCGUCCUCAUCUCCGUGGGAGACAGCAGAGCCUGUGAGGCAGGCGGCGGGGCUGUGCAGAGGAAGAAGCCCUGCAACCCGAGCGAGAGGCUUUUAAUUAACCCGAAAAGAUGAGAUCAACGCGAGUAUUACAACAGGUGGUUAAAUCCUGCGGCAAAGUAGCCCUCGCUUUGUUCUCCGUGCUGAUGCACAGGCAGAAACCUCCCGUGGGGCGAAGGAGGAGCCCGGGUGCGCGGCGUGGAAAGCAGACCGGGCGUGUGUGGGGCCGCCCGGCACCUGCGGCUCGCGGGCAGCAGCGCGGGCACGCAGACGGCCGCUUUACACUGCAGGCCCUUCACCACGUCUCAAGUUUGCAUUCCCACAGCACGGGACAGCCGGUCGCAUUGCUGCUUGCUGCGGCUGGCCGAGCAGCUGAGGCACUUCUGGGCACCUGAGAGACGCUUUGCUCACCGGGUCCUCCUUUGAAUUCGGGCACAGCCAUCCAGCUCUUCACGCGAAGGUCCCUAUUUCUUAAACGGCUGUGAAAUCCGCUCCGUGCAGGCUGCUGAAAGCCGUUCAGGGCAGCGCAGGAAGGCUCGUGCUCUCCAGCACCGCCUGCCCCUCUCCCCUUCCCCCCCCGGCAGGACCCCUCGCCCGACCCGGGGCUGCCGCCUGGGGGAGGACAGAUGGUCCCAGGGAGCGCGUAGGACUGCGAAGCGGGCGCUCUACAUCCCUUCCCGGCUCCAGCAGGAGCGUGCGACGCGGCACCACCUACGCCUUCGCCCACAGCCCCCCCUCCUCCUUCCCUCUCACUUUCUGCCUUCUCCAGGUCAUCUGCUGCUGCCUGCACAGGAUAAGGUGCCCCUGCAAAGCAAAACCAGCGGCAGCUCCUCGAGCCUGACCUCUCCCCAGCACCUCCCUGGGCUCCGGUGAUGGGAAGGACACGUGCUGGUCUGCAGCAGCAGCGGGGCUGUGAGCUCUGUGACAGGAAGAUCCAGGUUUGGCUUUUCUCAGGCAAUGAGGUGGUUUUAAUCUAACGCGAAUGAGAUUGGAUGCAGUAAAGACAGGAGCAAAGUUCUUUCUCCCAUCCCUUCUCCUGGCAAGGAGAAGCUGUGCGUCACAUCCAUGUAGAGUGGGAAUAACAGGUUGAUCACUGUCUCAGCUGGAGCUUCUGUCCUUCUGGCACUGUGGCACCCAACCCUCACGCAGUGCUGGAGGUGAGGAUGCACAGCACAGAACACAGUGGACGAUCCCUCUCCUUGCCCAGUGGCAGCACUGGGCCUGGUGUCCCCCUGGGUACAGUUGGCCCUUUGGGUUCCAGGCACACUGCUGGCUCAGACUGAACGUGCAGCCUUGCUGCAGGGAAGCUUCUCAUUACCCGGUCUGUCCAUACAGCCAGGGCUGCCCCUUGACAGGUGCAGCAUCCAAUGCUUGCUCUCGUUACACUUCAUGCAGCUGGUGGUGGCCCUGCCCUUUGAUUUGUUAUGAACUCCCUGAGAGGCCUUCCUGCCCUCCUGGGAACCAUAAGCUCCUCCCAUUGGAGUGUUGUCAGCAAACUUAAUGUGUGCUCACAUCCCAUCUCUGAGCCAUCAAUGAAAACCUUGCAGAGAGCUGGCCCUAUUGUGGAACCCACCUGGCAGCUGCUACCAGCCUGCUCUGAUUCCAUUUGCUACGGCUGCCGUGACCACCACACAAGUAGCUGUGGUGCCACCUCUGCUGGGGUACCUCUGUCUCACUGGGGGGUCUCACCGUGCAUCUGCACAGGAUAGAGCAGGAUGCGUGCCCGUGGCUGUCCGAAGGGCUGAUUGCCCCAUCCCGCGCUGGGUCCAGCACCUUCAGAGUGGCAGAGGAUGGAGCCCCGCCUCCCCUCUCCCUUCAGUACAAAACUAAGGACAACCAGCUCACCUCCGUCGGUGCCAAAAGGUCUGGGUGACCCAGGGGAGACCUGGGGGUGAGAGGAAGACGGGGAGCAUCUGCCGCCGAGCCCCUUGGAGAGCUGAGCAUGGCAGAGCUGAGGAAAGGGAGCUGGGUGAGGACCUUGUGUUACUGAGUAGUCCUACAAGACGGGAGAAUGGAAGUUUUGCCAUUGCCAUUCACAUGGCACCUGUGGAUGCACUGCGCUGUGGGCCUUGCAGCUGCUGACACAUCCCAGCAUGACAUGAAAGUGUCCCGGGUUGGUGGUGUAAGGAAAGGAUCUGACAGCUUCGCAGGGCAUCACCAGGAGAUGCUUUGAUGUAGGCACAGAGGGGAGAUGUCUCGAAUGGUACCAGAUAACAGCUGCUCUCAGUGACUGUAAUGGGAAAUAAAAG